UGGGGGAUAUUGCACAAUGGGCGAAAGCCUGAUGCAGCGACGCCGCGUGGGGGAUGAAGGCUUUCGGGUUGUAAACCUCUUUCGCUAUCGAACAAGGCCCGCUUAGGGUGGGUUGAGGGUAGGUGGAGAAGAAGCGCCGGCUAACUACGUGCCAGCAGCCGCGGUAAUACGUAGGGCGCGAGCGUUGUCCGGAAUUAUUGGGCGUAAAGGGCUUGUAGGCGGCUUGUUGCGCCUGCUGUGAAAACGCGGGGCUUAACUUCGCGCGUGCAGUGGGUACGGGCAGGCUUGAGUGUGGUAGGGGUGACUGGAAUUCCAGGUGUAGCGGUGGAAUGCACAGAUAUCUGGAGGAACACCGAUGGCGAAGGCAGGUUACUGGGCCAUUACUGACGCUGAGGAGCGAAAGCAUGGGUAGCGAACAGG
rnacentral:rRNA from 1 species